rnacentral:rRNA from 1 species
CAUCUCCUACGGGAGGCAGCAGUAGGGAAUCUUCCACAAUGGACGAAAGUCUGAUGGAGCAACGCCGCGUGAGUGAAGAAGGGUUUCGGCUCGGAAAACUCUGUUGGUAGUGAAGAAAGAUAGAGGUAGUAACUGGCCUUUAUUUGACGGUAAUUACUUAGAAAGUCACGGCUAGCUACGUGCCAGCAGCCGCGGUAAUACGUAGGUGGCAAGCGUUGUCCGGAUUUAUUGGGCGUAAAGCGAGUGCAGGCGGGUUCA